GCCGGGCGCAGUGGCUCACGCCUGUAAUCCCAGCACUUUGGGAGGCUGAGGCAGGUGGAUCACCUGAGGCCAGGAGUUCGAGACCAGCCUGACCAACAUGGUGAAACCCCGUCUCUACUAAAAAUAUAAAAUUAGCCGGGCGUGGUGGUGCAUUCCUGUAAUCCCAGCUACUAGAGAGGCUGAGGCAGGAGAAUCACCUGAACCCAGGAGAUGGAGGUUGUAGUGAGCUGAGAUCAUGCCACUGCACUCCAGACUGGGCCACAGAGUGAGACUCUGUCU
rnacentral:lncRNA from 10 species